rnacentral:tRNA from 1 species
AGAAAUUUAGGAUAAUGUUAGACCAAAGGCCUUCAAAGCCUUAAGCAGGAGUUUGAUCCUCCUAAUUUCUG